ACAAUAAGUCUCUUCCAUUCAUGGCGAUGCUGAGGAACCUGAGGAACAUGAUCACUAAGGGCAUCAGCGAGGCUCAUCACAAGAAGAUCCUCAGCAGGCUGACCAAUAAGGUGAGAGUGAAGCAUGAACUAAAAUUACAAUACUGUAAAGUAAAAGUUGUCCAGAUUGAUGACAUGUUGUAUUCUGAGCCUAAGAGGAAGAGUCUUACGCUGUAUGUCUGUCACUUGCUUUGUGUAACUUUGUGUUUUUGAUGCAUUCACAGAAAGCAGUUAUUCAGAGCCGACAGUUUCCCUUCCGGUUCCUCGCUGCCUACAAAGUCAUCAUGGAGCUUCACACUAUGGGUGAGAUACAUAUACAUCAAUAUCAGCCUAACCUCUAACAAUGCAACAAAAAAAAACACAUUACAGUACCCCCUCUUUGCCUCUCUGUCCUCUAGCCUUAGCAUCAAUGCAGGCACUCCCCCCUGUUAAAGAGAUCCUGAAGGGCAUCCUGAAGAAGAUUCCCAAGAGCAAGCGCUUCAAUCGUAUGGACUGGGAUACGACUCCGAGGAGCAGGAUCAGGGUGACGCUCGGAGUGCCGUUUGUCUAUCGACUGUACCGAAUAAAGAAGACCCAGCUCCUGAAUGCCAAUCGGAGGGAGUACACCGUCGCUCUGUUGGACCGCUACCGCAAAGCCCUGGAGACGGCGGUUCAGAUCUCCUGUCGUUACAAUGUUCCCCCGCUACCUGGACGCACCGUUAUCCUGCUCUCCUCUAACAUCAGCACCGAUCCACUCCCGAAACAGGACUUCUGCCUCCCACCAGAUCCUGAGCAAAAAAAUAAGGAAGAGGAAAAGAAAGAGGAGAUGGAAAAGGAAGAGGAAGAGGAAGAGAAAGAGGAAGAGGAGAAGGAAGAUGAAGAUGAAGAGGAAGAGGAAGAGGAAGAGGAGAAGGAAGAUGAAGAUGAAGAGAAAGAGGAAGAGGAAGUGUCCUGCAAGAGAGGGAGGAGAGGGAGAAAGAAAAAAGAGGAGGAUGACGAGCUCACUCCUUCUAAAAUGGAGGCGGCAGUUUUACUCUCUCUGAUGAUUGCCAGCAGUGCAGAGGACUUUCAGCUCCUCUUAACUCGUUGGGAUGACAGUGAACAAUUAGAGCUGAAGUCAGAUGUUCUUUUGGACAACGUCAGGAGUGUGAUGAAGAAAAUAAAGGUCAGUGCUUUUAUUUCCUUCUGUGUCCAUCUUGACUUUUACGUAAUGAAAAUUUACUCUCGUCCUCUUUUAAAACCUCACACAAGCAUUCACUUCAGCUUUCCUGUAGAGUGA
rnacentral:lncRNA from 15 species